GGCAUAAGGCUAUCCUAACUAUAAGAUAAGGCCAGGGACUAAUGAAAGUAUUUAGAAAAUUGGGCAGACUAGAUGGGCCAAAUUGUUCUUAUCUGCCGUCACAUUCUAUGUUUCUAUAGUGUUCCUUUAAAGGGAUUCUAUAUUGCCAGGAAAACAAACCCUUUUUCCGGGCACUGUAGAAUCCUGUAGUGUCCCCCUCCCGCUCAACAUCACCCGGCAGGGGAGACCUAAUGCACAUGCGCAGCAAUGGGUGCACUCGCAUUAGGAUUUCCACACAGGAAAGCAUUAUUCAAU